rnacentral:rRNA from 1 species
UACGUAGGGGGCAAGCGUUGUCCGGAUUUAUUGGGCGUAAAGAGCGUGUAGGCGGCCAGGUAGGUCUGCUGUGAAAACUCGAGGCUUAACCUCGAGCUGUCGGCGGAAACCCUCUGGCUAGAGUCCGGAAGAGGAGAAUGGAAUUCCCGGUGUAGCGGUGAAAUGCGCAGAUAUCGGGAAGAACACCCGUGGCGGAAAGGCGGUUCUCUGGGACGGGUACUGGACGCUGAGACGCGAAAGCGUGGGGAGCGAACAGG